GGGGAGGGGCGGGGACAGCGGCUCAGUGGUGUGGAGUCCGCCGCGCGGUGUAGGCAGGGGCGAUUUUAUUUCCACUUAUUCCCUGCUACCUCGAAGGAGUAUAGGAUUUGUUUGCUUGUGAACAGGAAGGAAGAUAUUUCUUCCUGGUUUUCAUUUUCCUCCACCCGCAUCCACCCUCUGGUUGUUGGAUCUGAAUUUUUGUCAAUACCACGGCUGCUCAAUGAGGUCUUUUGGCUGCAAUUUGAAGUUACAGUCACAAGUGAAGUCGAUUCUAUUUUCUUUAGAACAGAAUAUUCUAGUGAAUAUUUUUGUUAGUGACCUUCAGAAUUGCCUGUUCACGUCCUUUGCCCAUUUUUCUAUUUACGCAGACAAAGCGAUCCAUCUUUUCCUUCUGGUUUGCCCCUGUUAAAGAAGCCUUCCCCUCUCCCCGCAUCAUAAAGCUGGGUUUUCUGUGCCUUCUCCAAAAGCCCCAUCUUGGUUUCCCUCGGUCCCUGUAGGUCUUUAGUUCAUUUGAACUUAUUUGGAGGCCUUCUGGAAGACAGGGAUCUCCUUUGUCUUCUGCAUAUGGACAGCCAAUUGUCACCUAACCGAUUAUUGAAGCGUCGGUCUCCUCCGCCUCCGCAACACUCCAAGCCCGCGCCCAGAUCGCGGGCCGCCUCUGGCCUCUCUUCUGCUCGGCUGGGCGGUGCGUCCCAGUCUGGCUGGCUUUCUCCUGGGGCUGCUGCAGAGGCGCUAAACCACCGCCGCCAAGACUCACGCUCAGACAAUGUUUUUUUGCUUUCUUUUCUCUCUUUUUAAGAGAACUCGGCCGCCUUCUAGCGCCGACCGCUAGGAAUCCCCUGGGCUUCUUUAGAAGAGUCUGGCUUGCCCCACGCCCACCCCCUCCCCGGCCUCAGCUCAGUUUCCCUCCCUUCGCCCUACACAGGCUGCCCGCUUGUUUCCUCCAGCCAGGCUGAGAGACGAUCCCGAGCAGCCGCCUGCAGGACGGGCUGCUUCGCCCUUUCAGGGAGGGUUUGGCUGCACCCUUUGAAGUUUGAAGGUGGGGUGCACGCUCCACCGUUAGCCUCGCGCCUCCCCUCUCGGCCAGAGUCGCUCCUCCAGGGCCAGCUGCCCUCAGAGGCUGUGCCAGGCCCCUCUCUGAGUGUGCCCGGGUGAAGAGGAAGGCUUCAGAGAUGAGAGUCAACCUGCCAGGCCUCCCUCCUGAUGUGGGGAACGUCCUUCAAACCCCGUUUUAUAGGCGAACAGGUCAGAACGUGUGAAUUUCUCUGAGUUGGAGAAGUCGCAGAGUCAGUUUCCUCUAAGAAGCCACCUCUGACCAGCGAAAGGCUCCUCCUAGUCUGUAGACGCGGACUGGAAACGGGUGCUUGUGUACAUCAGGAGAGCGGAAUGUGAAUGCUCCUGGGUGGUAGCAGGUGGAAAAGACAUUAUUUGGGCUGCACCUUCAUUUCUGUCUUUUCCUGGACACCUGACCUGCCAUUUUUCAGGAGCUCAGCUGAGAGCGCGGCCAUAGAGAAGCAGACUGCAGAAGCCCAGGAAGGAGAAAGCGGCAAACAGCCAGUGGGGCGGCAUCUGAGGCUGCGGGGAGAUGGUGGAUAAGGAGACGCCAGAGGAACCUUUGGGUCCGGGGGAGCGUGGUGACUUUGGUGAGGACGGUGAUCCUGGGCCAUGGGAGGAAAACCCAGAUUCCAAAAGGUUACUUACCCUUACACAUAGUUGGCGCUAACGAAAUCAUAUUUUGUCAUUUGAGAAAUUAUAAAAUUGAAACAUGAGUGGAAAAUAACAAGGUGAGCAGGGACUAUAUAGACUUUAAAACAAGGAUUUUAGCCCUGGCUGGUGUAGCUCAGUGGAUUGAGCGUGGGCCUGCGAACCAGAUGAUCGAGGUUCAAUUCCCAGUCAGGGCACAUGCCUGGGUUGCAGGCCAGUUCCCUGCAGGUCAGUUCCCAGCAGGGGAGGCACAAAAGGCAACCAUACACUGAUGUUUCUCUCCCUCUUUCCUUCCCUUCCCCUCUAAAGAUAAAUAAAUAAACUCUUUAAAAAGAAAAAGAAGAUACAUAUUUUAAAAAAAACAA